GAUGAACGCUGGCGGCGUGCCUAAUACAUGCAAGUCGAGCGAACAGACGAGGAGCUUGCUCCUCUGACGUUAGCGGCGGACGGGUGAGUAACACGUGGAUAACCUACCUAUAAGACUGGGAUAACUUCGGGAAACCGGAGCUAAUACCGGAUAACAUGUUGAACCGCAUGGUUCAACAGUGAAAGACGGUCUUGCUGUCACUUAUAGAUGGAUCCGCGCCGCAUUAGCUAGUUGGUAAGGUACGGCUUACCAAGGCAACGAUGCGUAGCCGACCUGAGAGGGUGAUCGGCCACACUGGAACUGAGACACGGUCCAGACUCCUACGGGAGGCAGCAGUAGGGAAUCUUCCGCAAUGGGCGAAAGCCUGACGGAGCAACGCCGCGUGAGUGAAGAAGGUCUUCGGAUCGUAAAACUCUGUUAUUAGGGAAGAACAAAUGUGUAAGUAACUAUGCACGUCUUGACGGUACCUAAUCAGAAAGCCACGGCUAACUACGUG
rnacentral:rRNA from 1 species